GACGAACGCUGGCGGCGUGCUUAACACAUGCAAGUCGAACGGAAAGGCCCUGCUUUUGUGGGGUGCUCGAGUGGCGAACGGGUGAGUAACACGUGAGUAACCUGCCCUUGACUUUGGGAUAACUUAAGGAAACUGGGGCUAAUACCGGAUAGGAGCUCCUGCUGCAUGGUGGGGGUUGGAAAGUUUCGGCGGUUGGGGAUGGACUCGCGGCUUAUCAGCUUGUUGGUGGGGUAGUGGCUUACAAAGGCUUGGACGGGUAGCCGGCCUGAGAGGGUGACCGGCCACAUUGGGACUGAGAUACGGCCCAGACUCCUACGGGAGGCAGCAGUGGGGAAUAUUGCACAAUGGGCGGAAGCCUGAUGCAGCAACGCCGCGUGCGGGAUGACGGCCUUCGGGUUGUAAACCGCUUUCGCCUGUGACGAAGCGUGAGUGACGGUAAUGGGUAAAGAAGCACCGGCUAACUACGUG
rnacentral:rRNA from 1 species